rnacentral:lncRNA from 1 species
UGGAAGUGGUGGGUGCUGUGAGGCUCCUUACUGUGACUUCACACACUGAACUGCUGAGCUACAGUGCCUCACUGGGAUUUGUGGCAGGGAAAGUGAGGGAAAUAACUACAUUAACUCAUAUUACAUGAGCUACUCUUCCAGGCUUCCUAAUGGAAAAAUAAGAACGCUCAGAAGAAGUAACAGCAAUGCAAAACAAACCUGAGCAAGAUCAGAAUAAUUUCUGUGGAAAUAUAAUGUUUGAAGACUGCAUUGUUUUUAUUGCAGGUGAGCAUCUACAUGGUGUACACUGGUAAAUAUGCAGCUGAUGUAAGUGCCCUCCCUCUACUAGCUCUGCAGCUGCUCCUGGUAACUCUCCCCUGAGCACAUGGUGUAUUGGAACUGUUGAGUAACAGCCAGAAACACUGAUUGAGCACCUGAGGAAAGGACCCAUCAGCCCUGGAAACACAAGUGAAGGUAAUUCACCUGCCUGGCUACACCUCUUUUACCCCCCCUCUCCCCCCCAUUUAAGGGCUGACUGCCAUAGGGGAAGGAUCUUUUUCUGGGGAUUUCCUCUUGGUGAAUUUUUUCCUUGAAAACCUGGGAUCUUCUGAUACACGUGAGUAAACUUCUUCCCUUCCUUUUAGCCCCCUUUCUGUUGUGUUGGUUCUCCCAUCAUCACAUCUCUGUUGUAGUUCCUUUCCCAUUGUAUUCAACUGUCUAAUGGCUACAUGUGGAUAUGGAACUUCUCAUGGGGUUUUACAUUUGAUCCAAAUUCAGGGAGCCUUCACAGGGGUUGAGGAGUGUACAUACAUAACAGAGUGAGAGUGUCAUCGCAG